UAGAGUCGCAAGACCCUACACCAUCGCGAACGCACCCUACGCCGUUGCCUCGGCGGGGCGGCGGCCCCCCUACGGGGGCCUCCUUCCCGCCGGCAGCAUGCCAAACUCUGUAUUUUUAGGCCUCUCUGAGUAACAAAGACAAUAAGUCA
rnacentral:misc_RNA from 1 species